rnacentral:snRNA from 1 species
GCUUCACACUCACUUUGGAAGCACACAAACUAAAAUUGGGAUACUACCAAGAUUAGCAUGGUCCCUGCACACGGAUAACACACAAAUACGUUAAGUGCUCCAUAUUAAG